rnacentral:rRNA from 1 species
GUAGGGAAUUUUCGGCAAUGGAGGAAACUCUGACCGAGCAACGCCGCGUGAGUGAUGAAGGUCUUCGGAUUGUAAAGCUCUGUUGUAAAGGAAGAAUGCUAUGGAUAGAAUCCAUAGGUGACGGUACUUUACCAGAAAGCCACGGCUAACUACGUGCCAGCAGCCGCGGUAAUACGUAGGUGGCGAGCGUUAUCCGGAAUUAUUGGGCGUAAAGGGUGCGCAGGCGGCCAGAUAAGUUUGGGGUGAAAGACCGGAGCUCAACUCCGGUUUGCCUUGAAAACUGUCUAGCUAGAGUGCAAGAGAGGGCAAUGGAAUUCCAUGUGUAGCGGUAAAAUGCGUAGAUAUAUGGAGGAACACCAGUGGCGAAAGCGAUUGCCUGGCUUGCAACUGACGCUCAUGCACGAAAGCGUGGGGAGCAAAUAGGAUUAGAAACCCUAGUAGUCC